rnacentral:rRNA from 1 species
UACGUAGGGUGCAAGCGUUGUCCGGAAUUAUUGGGCGUAAAGAGCUCGUAGGCGGUUCGUCACGUCGGCUGUGAAAACCUGAGGCUCAACCUCAGGCCUGCAGUCGAUACGGGCGGACUUGAGUACUGCAGGGGAGACUGGAAUUCCUGGUGUAGCGGUGAAAUGCGCAGAUAUCAGGAGGAACACCGGUGGCGAAGGCGGCGACCUGGUCCGAUACUGACGCUGAGGCGCGAAAGCGUGGGGAGCAAACAGG